rnacentral:rRNA from 1 species
UACGUAGGGGACCAAGCGUUGUUCGGAUUCACUGGGCGUAAGGGCGCGAUAGGCGGCAAUUCGCAAGUCAGGCUAGUGAAAGUCAUCCCGGGCUUAACUCGGAACGGUAGCUGGAUACUGGUUUGCUAGAGUGCAGAAGGGGCAAUCGGGAAUUCUACGGUGUAGCGGUGAAAGUGCGUGAGAGUAGUCGAGAGGAACACCCUGAGGUGAAGACGGGUGCGUGGGCUGAACAGUGACAGCUGAUGCGCGAAAGCCAGGGUACGCAAACGGG